rnacentral:rRNA from 1 species
CCUACGGGAGGCAGCAGUGGGGAAUUUUGGACAAUGGGCGCAAGCCUGAUCCAGCCAUGCCGCGUGCGGAAAGAAGGCCUUCGGGUUGUAAACCGCUUUUGUCAGGGAAGAAAUCCUUUGAGUUAAUACCUCGGGGGGAUGACGGUACCUGAAGAAUAAGCACCGGCUAACUACGUGCCAGCAGCCGCGGUAAUACGUAGGGUGCGAGCGUUAAUCGGAAUUACUGGGCGUAAAGCGUGCGCAGGCGGUCUUGCAAGACAGGUGUGAAAUCCCCGGGCUUAACCUGGGAACUGCACUUGUGACUGCAAGGCUGGAGUACGGCAGAGGGGGAUGGAAUUCCGCGUGUAGCAGUGAAAUGCGUAGAUAUGCGGAGGAACACCGAUGGCGAAGGCAAUCCCCUGGGCCUGUACUGACGCUCAUGCACGAAAGCGUGGGGAGCAAACAGGAUUAGAUACCCUGGUAGUCCACGCCCUAAACGAUGUCAACUGGUUGUUGGACGGCUUGCUGUUCAGUAACGAAGCUAACGCGUGAAGUUGACCGCCUGGGGAGGACGGCCGCGAGUAGUUAACGUUACUAAGUUAGAGUUAGACGGCGUUGAGACGNGCGACGGACGACGACGAGGGAGGAGG